rnacentral:rRNA from 1 species
UACGUAGGGUGCAAGCGUUAAUCGGAAUUACUGGGCGUAAAGCGUGCGCAGGCGGUUUUGUAAGUCUGUUGUGAAAUCCCCGGGCUCAACCUGGGAAUGGCAAUGGAGACUGCAAGGCUAGAGUUUGGCAGAGGGGGGUAGAAUUCCACGUGUAGCAGUGAAAUGCGUAGAGAUGUGGAGGAACACCGAUGGCGAAGGCAGCCCCCCUGGGUCAAGAUUGACGCUCAUGCACGAAAGCGUGGGGAGCAAACAGG